UUCGGCUUGUUACCGACAGUCCCGAUAGAGUUCCCAACUUAAUGAUGGCAACUAUCGGCAGGGGUUGCGCUCGUUGCGGGACUUAGCCCAACAUCUCACGACACGAGCUGACGACAGCCAUGCACCACCUGUCUCCGCGUCGUCUUGCGACGAAACCCGACUUUCAUCGGAUUGCACGGGAUGUCAAGCCCAGGUAAGGUUCCUCGCGUUGCAUCGAAUUGAACCACAUGCUCCACCGCUUGUGCGGGCCCCCGUCAAUUCCUUUGAGUUUCGGCCUUGCGACCGUACUCCCCAGGCGGAAUGCUUAAUGCGUUAGCUUCGGCACGGCAGGGAUCGAUACCCGCCACACCAAGCAUUCAUCGUUUAGGGCCAGGACUAC
rnacentral:misc_RNA from 1 species